UUAAGGAGGAGGGAGGGGGUGUGGCCCUGAGCAGCUUGCAGCCACGGUACCAUCAUGGACUUAUUAUGGCGCGUUUCCACUGGAGGGUGCGGUUCGGUUGGGCACGCAAAGGUGCGGAACGGAUCGCGUUUCCACCGCCAACAGUGGGCGUGACCUGGACUGAGCCGUACUGAGCUGUACUCAUCCUGCACUCAUCUCGCAGUACUCCUCCGUUGGGGUACUGAGACACCUGGAAGGAUGCCGGCAAGUUCGAGCUACACACACCCUCCGUUGAUUGGUCGACGGAAUCGUCAUGACGGCAGCUGAAAAAUAGACACAAUUAACAAACACAAGCAGCCCCCACACACAAACACUACACAAAUCAAGCAACACACACAUCGCAACAACAACAUUCAACACAUGAGUAAAGAGUGCUUCAUGAAGUGCUUCCAUUCUAAAGUGCAGCAGGUUGAUGAGUCAGUGACCAGCAUUAAGGAGCUGGACAGCCCUGGGGGUGAAGGUUGCCCUCCUCCUCUGUGUCCGACAGCCUGGAGUCUAUGUCCUGAGGGGCGCCACUCAAACUCAGGGAACAGGAAAUGUUGGUCUGCGGUGACAGGCAGUAAUGUACUGAUAGUUUACACAGGGUAUUGUAACAUGGUAUUAUUAUAUUAUUAUCACAUGGUAUUAUUAUAUUAUAGUAUUAUCACAUGGUAUUAUUAUAUUAUAUAUCGGCCUAUAUAUUACACAUAUUCUAUAAGGCAGACUUUACAGUUGGCUCAGUGAUCUGUGUGUGUGUGUGUGUGUGUGUGUGUGUGUGUGUGUGUGUGUGUGUGUGUGUGUGUGUGUGUGUGUGUGUGUGUGUGUGUGUGUGUGUGUGUGUGUGUGUGUGUGUGUUGCAUAUGAUUUGUCCAUUGUCUCUGUGAGUCAAACCGGUUCUUUAGGUCUACCGGUCGGUCGCAGCCAGCACCCCUUCUUCCUCCACUUUGAAAACCUUUCACCUCAUUAACUUGUUUGAAGAACACUUUAUGUAGUAGUACUCAUGGAUUGGCUCUUGUCCAAUCAAAUAACUUCAGAUGUUGUACAAAACAGUUUUUUGUGUGAGCUGAGCUCCAUGUCAGGACAUGCAAUAAGCAUACCCAAUGACGUCACUUAACGGUGUUGGUCCUCGGUGACAUGCAGUAAUGUACUGAUAGCAUACCCAGGCUAUUAUUACAUGGGAUUAAUAUAUACCUGUAUUCUGACUAUAUUAAGGCAGCCUUUAAGGUUGGCUCAGUGAUCCGUGUGAGUGUGUGUGUGUGUGUGUGUGUGUGUGUGUGUGUGUGUGUGUGUGUGUGUGUGUGUGUGUGUGUGUGUGUGUGUGUGUGUGUGUGUGUGUGUGUGUGUGUGUGUGUGUGCGUGCGUGCGUGCGUGCGUGCGUGCGUGCGUGCGUGUGUGUGUGUGUGUGUGUGUGCGUGUGCGCUAGCUGCGCUGGGUAGCGUUCGGUUUCCUAGAAAAGCAGGUGACCCACGCUGAGAGGUGCGGCUCCUCCUCUCUCUGUGAGUCAAACCGCUUCAGCUCGGUUACUCACUUCCUCAUCUAAAACUUCUGUCGCAGCGAGGAGCCUUUCUUUCUCCGCUUUGAAAACCUUUCACCUGAUUAACUUGAUUUAUAAACACUUUAAUCUCUGUUUCUUCCCUUACAUGUAUUAUUUUAUAACUUUAUACCGCAUGGGACGCAUUUUAAUUAGAUAAGUAGAUAAGGUCUCCAGUCUACUAUGGAUGAGGAGAGAAAGGAGGGGGGUCCUACCUCUAAGACCACUCUGUCUAGGGAACAUGGCCGCAUGAACAAAGCUAAGAGGAGACAGGAGAGAGCAGACUCCCCUGGACCCAGCUGUGUCUCCAUGAAGAGUGACUGGUCUAUGGAUCAUCCUGCUAACUUUAAAGACGGAAAUCAGUCUAUUGAAAAGAGGUGAGGAUUUAUCAGAUAUAAUAAAGAUACAGAUUCUAUCAAAUGUCCAUAAAUCCUGGUUCUUGUUUUUCUAGAAGAGAUCAGCAGCAGAGAGCAUACUCCCCUGGACCCAGCUGUGUCUCCAUGAAGAGUGACUGGUCUAUGGAUCAUCCUCCUGAAUUUAAAGAUGGACGCCCCUCCAGAGAGGAGAGACCACACCAGAAGAGGUCAAUUGUUACCAGGUCUGUACAGAAGAAUCCAACGGAGCUGAUCAAGAGGGCUGAGGAGAACGCACACACUUUCCUCGACAAGGAG